CAAUAGCGUAUAUUAAAGUUGUUGCAGUUAAAAAGCUCGUAGUUGGAUUUCGGGGCAGCCUGGCUGGUCCGCCGCAAGGCGAGUACCGGUCAGCCGCCCUUCCUCUCGAAAGCCCCGACUGCUCUUCGUUGCAGUGGUCGGGUAGUUCGGGACGUUUACUUUGAAAAAAUUAGAGUGUUCAAGGCAGGCCUACGCCUGAAUACAUUAGCAUGGAAUAAUGGAAGAGGACCUCGGUCCUAUUUUGUUGGUUUCCAGGGCCGAAGUAAUGAUUAAGAGGGACAGUUGGGGGCAUUCGUAUUUAAUUGUCAGAGGUGAAAUUCUCGGAUUUAUGAAAGACGAACAACUGCGAAAGCAUUUGCCAAGGAUGUUUUCAUUAA
rnacentral:rRNA from 1 species